rnacentral:rRNA from 1 species
UGGGGAAUCUUGGACAAUGGGGGCAACCCUGAUCCAGCCAUGCCGCGUGAGUGAUGAAGGCCUUAGGGUCGUAAAGCUCUUUCGCCUGUGAAGAUAAUGACGGUAGCAGGUAAAGAAACCCCGGCUAACUCCGUGCCAGCAGCCGCGGUAAUACGGAGGGGGUUAGCGUUGUUCGGAAUUACUGGGCGUAAAGCGCACGUAGGCGGACCAGAAAGUUGGGGGUGAAAUCCCGGGGGCUCAACCCCGGAACUGCCUCCAAAACUAUUGGUCUAGAGUUCGAGAGAGGUGAGUGGAAUUCCAAGUGUAGAGGUGAAAUUCGUAGAUAUUUGGAGGAACACCAGUGGCGAAGGCGGCUCACUGGCUCGAUACUGACGCUGAGGUGCGAAAGUGUGGGGAGCAAACAGGAUUAGAUACCCCUGGUAGUCCACACCGUAAAACGAUGAAUGCCAGUCGUCGGGUAGCAUGCUAUUCGGUGACACACCUAACGGAUUAAGCAUUCCGCCUGGGGAGUACGGUCGCAAGAUUAAAA